GAUUAGCCUGCGUCCGAUUAGCUAGUUGGUAGGGUAAAGGCCUACCAAGGCGACGAUCGGUAGCUGGUCUGAGAGGAUGGCCAGCCACACUGGAACUGAGACACGGUCCAGACUCCUACGGGAGGCAGCAGUGGGGAAUAUUGGACAAUGGGGGCAACCCUGAUCCAGCAAUGCCGCGUGUGUGAAGAAGGCCUGAGGGUUGUAAAGCACUUUCAGUGGGGAGGAGGAUUAAGAGGUUAAGAGCUACUUAAUUGGACGUUACCCACAGAAGAAGCACCGGCUAACUCCGUGCCAGCAGCCGCGGUAAUACGGAGGGUGCGAGCGUUAAUCGGAAUAACUGGGCGUAAAGGGUGCGUAGGUGGUUGAUUAAGUUAUCUGUGAAAUUCCUGGGCUUAACCUAGGGCGGUCAGAUAAGACUGGUCAACUCGAGUACAGGAGAGGGUAGUGGAAUUUCCGGUGUAGCGGUGAAAUGCGUAGAGAUCGGAAGGAACACCAGUGGCGAAGGCGGCUACCUGGCCUGAUACUGACACUGAGGCACGAAAGCGUGGGGAGCAAACAGGAUUAGAUACCCUGGUAGUCCACGCCGUAAACGAUGUCAACUAGCUGUUGG
rnacentral:rRNA from 1 species